rnacentral:rRNA from 1 species
GCAUAUCAAUAAGCGGAGGAAAAGAAACCAACAGGGAUUGCCCCCAGUAACGGCGAGUGAAGCGGCAAAAGCUCAAAUUUGAAAUCUGGCCUCCUACGGGGGUCCGAGUUGUAAUUUGUAGAGGAUGCUUCGGGUGUGGCCGCCGUCUAAGUUCCUUGGAACAGGACGUCAGAGAGGGUGAGAAUCCCGUCUUGGGCGGCCGGUCCGCGCCCGUGUGAAGCUCCUUCGACGAGUCGAGUUGUUUGGGAAUGCAGCUCUAAGCGGGUGGUAAAUUUCAUCUAAAGCUAAAUACUGGUCGGAGACCGAUAGCGCACAAGUAGAGUGAUCGAAAGGUUAAAAGCACCUUGAAAAGGGAGUUAAACAGCACGUGAAAUUGUUGAAAGGGAAGCGCUUGCGGCCAGACUCGGGGGCGGGGUUCAGCGGGCGCUCGUCGCCCGUGCACUCCCCGUCUCCCGGGCCAGCAUCAGUUUCGACGGCCGGUCAAAGGCCUCCGGAAUGUGUCGUCUCUCGGGACGUCUUAUAGCCGGGGGUGCAAUGCGGCCCGUCGGGACUGAGGAACGCGCUUCGGCUCGGAUGCUGGCGUAAUGGCCGUAAGCGGCCCGUCUUGAAACACGGACCAAGGAGUCUAACAUCCACGCGAGUGUUCGGGUGUCAAACCCGUGCGCGCAGUGAAAGCGAACGGAGGUGGGAGCCUUAGGGCGCACCAUCGACCGAUCCUGAAGUCUUCGGAUGGAUUUGAGUAGGAGCGUGGCCGUUGGGACCCGAAAGAUGGUGAACUAUGCCUGAAUAGGGUGAAGCCAGAGGAAACUCUGGUGGAGGCUCGCAGCGGUUCUGACGUGCAAAUCGAUCGUCAAAUUUGGGCAUAGGGGCGAAAGACUAAUCGAACCAUCUAGUAGCUGGUUCCUGCCGA